rnacentral:lncRNA from 10 species
CAGCACUCCUCCUCUGGGUCUAUGGCUGCUCUUCCUGGUAGACCUAUUUUGCUUUGCAACAUUAUAUUCUGCUAAACAGAUUUAAAGAGAACAUUUAACUCCUGUAUGAUAGACCUAUUGGCAGUGCGACAUUGGGGAAAUUUUAAAUGAGCACAACCUGGUUAAGCACACGGGAUCUCUGGUUCCAGAUGGCCCUCCAGAAAGCCAGCAGCAACAUGCACCCUCAUCUGAGACAGCUGGACUUUUUCUGUGCUUCACCAACCUGGGCACAAAGAACACAAAGCAAAGCAAAAACAAAGCAGCUCUACCAGUUUGAUGUGUGAAGUGUACCAUUUCAUUAUUGUGUUAUGUUCUCGUUCUUUGAUUUCGCAUGAACUUGACUAUUUUAUGUAGUGUUUAUUUUCCAUUGAUUUUCUUAUUUUAUAAAUUGCCUUAUUCAUGCCCUUUGCUCAUUUGUUUAUUGGAGUGUUCACUAGCAUGUAGCAGUUCUCUCUCUCAUAAAUGAAAUAUAUUAAGCCUUCAUCUGGUGGAUAGGUUACCCAUAUUUUUUCUAUUUUUUUUAGUAGUCUUUUAAUUCUGCGUAUGUCAUUUUUAGGUGCUCAGAAGUUUAAAAAUCUUAUCUAGUAAAAUCAAUCAGGCUUUUCCUUUAUUAUUCCUUCAUUUGUUCUUAUGGUUACAAAGCCCUUCCCUACUCUGUCAAAUAGCUAUUCGUUUCUAUUUUCUUUGAUGGUUUAUUUUUUCAGAUUUAGCUUGUCAGUUGUUUGCAAUAUAUUUUAAUGUGUGAUAUGAGGAUCUAAUAUAUUAUUUGUAAAUGUUUAAACAAUUGUUUCAGUAUUAUUUAUGAAAUAAAACUUUUAC